UACAGAGGUGUCAAGCGUUGCUCGGUAUCACUGGGCUUAAAGGGCGCGUAGGCUGUGCGGUACGGUUCGGGUGAAAUCCCUCGGCUCAACCGAGGAACUGCCCGGGCGACGGCCGUGCUGGACUGCAUCAGGGGACGAUGGAACUCCCGGUGGAGCGGUGAAAUGCGCAGAUAUCGGGAAGAACACCCGUGGCGAAGGCGGCUCUCUGGGACGGUACUGACGCUGAGACGCGAAAGCGUGGGGAGCGAACAGG
rnacentral:rRNA from 1 species